ensembl:ncRNA C54D2.11 ncRNA
AAACAAACCUCGGUCCGCCUGCAUAUUUAGAGAGGGACUGAAAACUGCGCAGUUCCGGAACUGGCUGACGUAGCAUUUUCAGGUGACCGGGUCAAAGUGGUUUCUCAUUCAGAGUAGCCAAAAUGUGUGGGGACAAUGUGGCGACUAGG